rnacentral:tRNA from 1 species
GGUGCGGUAGUUCAAUAGGUCAGAACAUCGGCUUGUCACGCCGGGAGUAGCGGGUUCGAAUCCCGUCCGCACCG